rnacentral:lncRNA from 1 species
AUAUUUUGGGGAUGCCUUGCUCUAGCAUAUCACCUACAUAUGAGGUCUCUCAAACAUGUAGUAAUAGAGCUUGACCCUGCUAGUAAAUGGGAAAAUGACUAUUAAAGUCAUGCAGAGCCAAUAAUUCGAGUCAGUAGUUUGUUUACACACUGUGUGCACAUGUGACAUUCGUAUAGAAAGUAACAAAAAAUUUUCUAGUAUUUACCAUACCUAUGACAGUAGGACCCACCCAAUAUAGAUUGCACCCGUGCCUUCUUCACAAUUACAGUUCCUAGAAGAUGGCAAAGUUCCUGUGUUGAGUAAGACUUCUCUG